CUAAUAUGCAGUGACGUGCACAGGUAGCACAGGGUUUGAAACCAGGGUAGGCAUUAGUUAGGUAGGAAACUGUUCACUGGCAGGUCAUAAUUAAAAAUAUGCAUUGAGCUAUUUCAACUGAGGUAAGCAGUGCAUUUAUGCCUCUAUAACCUGCACACCACUGCUAAUAUGUAGCUUUCUAUAGUUUUAUUUUUGAU